rnacentral:tRNA from 1 species
GAGGGUAUAGCUCAAGCGGUAGAGCGCGUGCUCAGCAUGCGUGAGAUCCUAGGUUCAAUCCCUAGUACCUCCU